GAUGAAGAACGUAGCGAAAUGCGAUAAGUAAUGUGAAUUGCAGAAUUCAGUGAAUCAUCGAAUCUUUGAACGCACCUUGCGCUCCUUGGUAUUCCGAGGAGCAUGCCUGUUUGAGUGUCAUGAAAUUCUCAACCUUUUCAGCUUUCUUUGUUGAUCGGGCUUGGAUGUGGGAGUAUGCGGGCUUCUCAGAAGUCGGCUCUCCUGAAAUGCAUUAGCGGGACCUUUGUUGCCUGGCUUUGGUGUGAUAAUUAUCUACGCCAUUGUAGUCAAGCAGCUUAAAAUGAGGUUUCAGCUUCUAACCGUCUCCCCUGAGACAACUUUUUGACAAUUUGACCUCAAAUCAGGUAGGACUACCCGCUGAACUUAAGCAUAUCAAUAAGCGGAGGA
rnacentral:misc_RNA from 1 species